CGCGGCCUAUCAGCUUGUUGGUGAGGUAACGGCUCACCAAGGCAUCGACGGGUAGCUGGUCUGAGAGGAUGAUCAGCCACACUGGGACUGAGACACGGCCCAGACUCCUACGGGAGGCAGCAGUGGGGAAUAUUGCACAAUGGGCGCAAGCCUGAUGCAGCAACGCCGCGUGCGGGAUGAAGGCCCUAGGGUUGCAAACCGCUUUCAGCAGGGAAGAAAAUGACGGUACCUGCAGAAGAAGGUGCGGCCAACUACGUGCCAGCAGCCGCGGUGACACGUAGGCACCAAGCGUUGUCCGGAUUUAUUGGGCGUAAAGAGCUCGUAGGCGGUUCAGUAAGUCGGGUGUGAAAACUCUGGGCUCAACCCAGAGACGCCACCCGAUACUGCUGUGACUUGAGUACGGUAGGGGAGCGGGGAAUUCCUGGUGUAGCGGUGAAAUGCGCAGAUAUCAGGAGGAACACCAGUGGCGAAGGCGCCGCUCUGGGCCGUAACUGACGCUGAGGAGCGAAAGCGUGGGUAGCAAACAGGAUUAGAUACCCUGGUAGUCCACGCCGUAAACGUUGGGCACUAGGUGUGGGUCUCAACCAACGAGAUCCGCGCCGUCGCUAACGCAUUAAGUGCCCCGCCUGGGGAGUACGG
rnacentral:rRNA from 1 species